UNUGGUCUGUCACUGACGCUGAGGCUCGAAAGCGUGGGUAGCGAACAGGAUUAGAUACCNUGGUAGUCCACGCCGUAAACGAUGGGUGCUAGGUGUUAGGCCCUUUCCGGGGCUUAGUGCCGGAGCUAACGCAAUAAGCACUCCGCCUGGGGAGUACGACCGCAAGGUUGAAACUCAAAGGAAUUGACGGGGGCCCGCACAAGCGGUGGAGCAUGUGGUUUAAUUCGAAGCAACGCGAAGAACCUUACCAGGUCUUGACAUCCCGAUGCUAUUCUUAGAGAUAGGAAGUUACUUCGGUACAUCGGAGACAGGUGGUGCAUGGUUGUCGUCAGCUCGUGUCGUGAGAUGUUGGGUNNNNNNNNNCAACGAGCGCAACCCUUAUUGUUAGUUGCCAUCAUUAAGUUGGGCACUCUAGCGAGACUGCCGGUAAUAAACCGGAGGAAGGUGGGGAUGACGUCAAAUCAUCAUGCCCCUUAUGACCUGGGCUACACACGUGCUACAAUGGUCGGUACAACGAGUUGCGAGCCGGUGACGGCAAGCUAAUCUCUGAAAGCCGAUCUCAGUUCGGAUUGGAGGCUGCAACUCGCCUCCAUGAAGUCGGAGUCGCUAGUAAUCGCGGAUCAGCACGCCGCGGUGAAUACGUUCCCGGGCCU
rnacentral:rRNA from 1 species